AAGAUAAGAAUUGUUUCUCAUUCUUUUCUCUGAUCUUCUCACAGCCAGGACAAUUCCUGGGAAAGUUGUGCUUGUUGCUCUCUGUGGCUAGAGAUCUGCUGCCACACUCCUUCUGCCAGGAGGGGACAACACAUCACCACAGGGCUUGGUCACUGCUGUGGAAGUGUCCCAGUUGUGCAGGACUUAAGAGAUAAGAUGAUAAAAGACUCAAGGUGGCAUGGGGAACUUUUCCCAGAAUGAAGGGGAUAGGAAUACGGGCUAAUUUCCAGGAGGGUGUCAUGAAGGUCUUGCAUAUGAAAAUGAGAGAGAACCUACCCUUGGCUAAAAGAAAAGCCCCAACAAUUACAGUGAGAGGCUUGCAUUCAGCUUGAGUAGAAGGAGAAAGAUUAUUUUUAUGCUCCAAUUUCAGAAAGCCGCUUUCAGUUUGGAAACAGCUGUUAAUAACUCCAGGAGUGGGGUGGGAGGAAGAUUUUUGCUGUGGGAGGAAGGAGCUGAUCUGGGUCUCAGAAGCUGCUGGCUCCAUUCCACCCUGCCGUGCCCUCACUAGGCAGCUUUGAGGCAGUCUCAGUCUGAGCACUGGGGCUUCCCCACCUGUGCAGCCCAGACAAUGAUCAGAUUUGCCGGUUUUUCACUGCCCUUUGCUCAUCAUCAGCACACAAACUGCCCCUGGACUGCAGACACUGCCAUUCACUCUGGAUUCACACUUUUUGGCAGCAAUAACCCCCAAACCUGUGAAAAACCAAGAAUCUCAUCCAGAACAAACAUCUGCUCCAGGUGGAUGUGUCCUGCUGGCUCACAGACCAGGUUGUAUCACGUGCAAAAAUUUAACUUGUUACUCUGUAGCUGGUGAAAUGCACUGCUGAACCUUCCCUUUAUCCA